AUUGAACGCUGGCGGCAUGCUUUACACAUGCAAGUCGAACGGUAACAGGUUAAGCUGACGAGUGGCGAACGGGUGAGUAAUGCAUCGGAACGUGCCCGGUCGUGGGGGAUAACGCAGCGAAAGCUGCGCUAAUACCGCAUACGAUCUGAGGAUGAAAGCGGGGGACCGUAAGGCCUCGCGCGAUCGGAGCGGCCGAUGUCAGAUUAGGUAGUUGGUGAGGUAAAGGCUCACCAAGCCAACGAUCUGUAGCUGGUCUGAGAGGACGACCAGCCCCACUGGGACUGCGACAAGGCCAAGACUCCUACGGGAGGCAGCAGUGGGAAAUUUUGAACAAUGGGCGAAAGCCUGAUCCAGCAAUGCCGCGUGCAGGAAGAAGGCCUUCGGGUUGUAAACUGCUUUUGUACGGAGCGAAAAGGCUCUCUCUAAUACAGGGGGCUCAUGACGGUACCGUAAGAAUAAGCACCGGCUAACUACGUGCCAGCAGCCGCAGUAAGAC
rnacentral:rRNA from 1 species